UUGACCUCGGAUCAGGUAGGAAUACCUGCUGAACUUAA
rnacentral:rRNA from 1 species